rnacentral:rRNA from 1 species
ACCAGACUCCUACGGGAGGCAGCAGUGGGGGAUAUUGCACAAUGGGGGGAACCCUGAUGCAGCGACGCCGCGUGGGUGAAGGAGUAUUUCGGUAUGUAAAGCCCUAUCGGCAGGGAAGAAGCAAGACGGUACCUGACUAAGAAGCCCCGGCUAACUACGUGCCAGCAGCCGCGGUAAUACGUAGGGGGCGCGCGUUAUCCGGAUUCACUGGGUGUAAAGGGAGCGUAGACGGCCAUGCAAGCCAGGGGUGAAAGCCCGGGGCCCAACCCCGGGACUGCCCUUGGAACUGCAUGGCUGGAGUGCGGGAGGGGCAGGCGGAAUUCCUGGUGUAGCGGUGAAAUGCGUAGAUAUCAGGAGGAACACCGGCGGCGAAGGCGGCCUGCUGGACUGUGACUGACGUUGAGGCCCGAAGGCGUGGGGAGCAAACAGGAUUAGAUACCCGGGUA